GAGGGGCCUCUGAAAUCUCUGCUCACAUCCAAAUAGGAUGAUCAUUGCAAAAGAAAACAAACACAAACAAAAACAAACAACACACAUGCAAGGGUAAGCUAGAAUUCAAAUGAAAACAAGUCAAUGACAGUUAAACAUAGCAAAAUAGACAUACAAGCAAUUACAAUCACAGAGGAACAGUUUUAGUAAAUUAUAAGUUGUGGUUUUAUUAGGUGGUGUUAGUUUUAGACUCGUCCGGACCCGGAAUGAAUAUCGAGCUAUGGCGGGUUAUGCACUUGUGGUGGCCUCUACUGCUUUGCAAAGCCAUUGCCAAUGGGUUUCACCCUACCACACACACAAGGUUAGUCCGUUAUCACUCACAUUGGCCCAUAUAAAUGGAGACAACCAAGACUAGGACCCCCUACUGCUCUUCACCACAUGAACUAAUCUUCUCUAAGUGAGAUUGAAUAGUCAUUAGAGCUUUAAGGGCAACCCCCAAGACUGAGCUACCUAUAUUCAUUCCAGAAACUUAACUUAUAUCUCACCAAGAGAUGUACUUAAUUCGUUGAUUCACACUUCAUACCAUACUAUUCUUCACUCACUUUGAUUCUUAAGUUUUUAUAAGUUUUGGUGUUAACUUAGUUUAAUUUGAUACACAGUCAUUUUGGGUUUAGAUUGAUUCAAUUCCAUACAAAUCCUACAUAAUUAACUCAUACAAUACUAAAAAGAAUUAUACAAUGCUAGAAAUAAGUCAUACAUUACAUAUUUUCACAGAAACACCAUUUAUUAAUACCAAUUUCUUUAUCAACUAUAAUUACCUAUACUUAAGUAAUUCAAACGGUUCCGAAACCAUCACCAACGGCUCCGGAAGGGUCUAAAACCCCCAAAACGACCUAAAGAACGUCCAAAACGGACGUCCGGAACCCCCCAAACUGUCAAAAACAAAAGCAACAGCAGAUUCCUGCGCCCAGCGUGAAUUUCUGCUGGAAAACAGCAAGAAAUGGCGCCCAGCGCACUUUUUGGGCGCCCGACGUGAAUCAUGCAUAUUUUUCUGCAUAAU
rnacentral:lncRNA from 1 species